AGAAACCGGAAGGGGGGUGGGUCAACCCAGGCGCUGGAUUGAGGAUUGAUGCAUACAGUGGGAAGUUCAAGGAGCACAACGGGCCUGACUCUGAUCCGGCCUCACAUGACAUUGACGCUACAAUUUCCCUCCAGUCGGGAGAUGGCAAGAAGGGUGGUCGGUUAUAUGUUGGCGACGGUGCCAUCCGUAAGAAGGACAUCCCAAAACACUCUCACCUCCGUGCUACCACGUCGAGCUCAGGUCCUGCUAUAGAGCAUCGCCCACAGCCUGGGCUGCACGUGCUCCAUCAACUCGAGGCCAAUGCCAGGCUUCGAGAGGAGGAAGCCAUGAAAAUGCAGCAGGCCCUGUUUCAACAGCAAGAAUUCAUGGUUAAACAAUAGGCAAUCCUGCAGGAGACAUUUGCUCAACUCAGAAAUAAUAUGCAGGGUUCCACUUUGCCCGUUCUUCCUCCUCUUCCGACUCUUCCUAAUUUCAACUUUUUUUCUCAGUCGGGACAAGGCUCCAAUAACUGUGUGGUAGGUGGAUCUUCACCUGGCCAAGCAAGUCCAGUGACACCCACUACGGUUCAUGUCGCUUCGACCUCCCCGCAACAAUGAUCACUUGAGGUUUGCAUUGUGGAUGGCGUUGACGGUGGGCAUAUAUGCUGCGGUGGAGCUCAUUG